rnacentral:rRNA from 1 species
CCUACGGGAGGCAGCAGUGGGGAAUAUUGGGCAAUGGGCGCAAGCCUGACCCAGCAACGCCGCGUGAAGGAAGAAGGCUUUCGGGUUGUAAACUUCUUUUCUCAGGGACGAAGUAAGUGACGGUACCUGAGGAAUAAGCCACGGCUAACUCCGUGCCAGCAGCCGCGGUAAUACGUAGGUGGCAAGCGUUAUCCGGAUUUACUGGGUGUAAAGGACGUGUAGGCGGGAGUGCAAGUCAGAUGUGAAAACCAAGGGCUCAACCUAUGGCCUGCAUUUGAAACUGUAGUUCUUGAGUACUGGAGAGGCAGACGGAAUUCCGAGUGUAGCGGUGAAAUGCGUAGAUAUUCGGAGGAACACCAGUGGCGAAGGCGGUUUGCUGGACAGCAACUGACGCUGAGGCGCGAAAGCGUGGGGAGCAAACAGGAUUAGAUACCCUUGUAGUC